CUUCUCCAGGGGAUCUUUCCAACCCAGGGAUCGAACCCGGGUUUCCUGUGCUGCAGGCAGAUCCUUCACCGUCCGAGCCACCAGGGAAGCAGCCGCCUGACCACGUGUGAAUCGGUGGCCAAGCGGAACCUGCCGUCUAGCACAGCGAGCUCAGCUUCGUGCUCUGUGCCGACCCAGAGGACUACAUUCUUAUUUAGAGGAAAACCAUUUCAGAAGCCAAAAUACUGAACCUGGACCCCACAAGUCUUUCAACCCUGCGUUCUGUGAGGAGUUGGUCCAAAGCCACUCUUCUUGGCCACCCCCGCGUGGGAAAACAACUCCUCCAUCACGUGUGGCUCAAAGGAGGAGUCAGAGAAAAAGGCCCCGUGGUCUCCCAAGCUUCCCUAAAGAUGCAGGAAUCUGAAGAGGUCUGCCUUGGGGGCUUCCCUGGUGAUCCGACGGUCAGGACGUCACCUUCCAGUGUAAGGGGGGCCGGUGUGAUCCCUGGUCAUGAGCCAAGACCCCACGUUCCUCGAGGCCAAAAACCAACACGUAAAACAGAAGCAAAACUGCAGCGAAUUCAACAAAGACUUAAAACAUGGUCCACAUCAAACUUGAGGAAAAAAAGCCAAUCCAUGCGUUUAAAUGAUCCUUUUAUAGGACUGACGAUACUAGGACUGACUGUGUGCCGGGCACUGUGUUAAGCUCUGGAAAUAGAAGGGGAAAGAGAAAAUACAGAUUUCCUGGGCCAAGGGAGUCACUGGUCUACUGGGGGAGACAGAGACGAUGCAGGUUCAAUUACAAAUGUAUAAAUAAUUGCAAACCAUGACUUGUGCAAUGAGGGGCAUAACAGGAGGCCGUGAACACGUCACAGAAGCCCUCCUGUCGGGCAGGAUCAAGGCUGGGGACAGGGAGGCUCCAGAGGCAGGGGCUAGAGGUGCGCUUGGAGCUGGUUCACUGGCACAGCAGGAGCCAACUCAGCGUUGUAAAGCAAUUACACCCCAGUGAAAAGUAAGUAAAUGAACACAAGGAAAUCAGCUUCCUCCCUUACUUAAGAGUGUGUGUGUGUGUGUGUGUGUGUGUGUGUGUGCGUGUGAGCCCCUCAGGCAUGUCUGACUCUUUGUGACCCAUGGA